GACGAACCGUCCAAACGUUAUUCGGAAUCACUGGGCUUAAAGGGCGCGUAGGCGGCCGAGCGGGUCGUGGGUGAAAUCCCCCAGCUUAACUGGGGAACUGCUUACGAUACCACUGCGGCUCGAGGAAGGAAGGGGCAAUGGGAACUGUCGGUGGAGCGGUGAAAUGCGUUGAUAUCGACAGGAACGCCUGUGGCGAAAGCGCAUUGCUGGUCCUUUUCUGACGCUGAGGCGCGAAAGCCAGGGGAGCAAACGGG
rnacentral:rRNA from 1 species